rnacentral:ncRNA from 1 species
UAUAAAAAUGAUUAUUAAAUAAUUUAGUUGUAAGAAUAAAUUUUAAAUAUUUAAAAAAAUAAUGAGAAAUAUAUUAUAUAAAAUAAUUAAAUUAAUAAUUUAAUUUAUAGAAAAUUAGUUUAAUAUAAAUAAAAUUAGAGUGCCAGCAAUUGCGGUUAAACUCAGUAUAUAAAUAAUUAAAAUAUAAAUUAUAUAUUAAAUGAAAUGAAUAAAUAAUAAUAAAUAAAAUUUUUAUGGUGAAAUAUAAAAUUUUAAAAGUUUAUUAUUAGAAUAAUGAUAUAUAAAACAUUAAAUAAUAAAUUAGGAUUAGAUACCCUAUUAUUUUAAUUAAAAGUUGAGAUUUAUGAAGUAAAUGUUUAAUCAUUAAAUAAAAUAAAUUUGGGGGAAUUUAAAAUUUUUAAAGGAACUUGUUUUUUAAAUUGAUAAUCCACGAAUGGAUGAACUUAUUUUAAAUUUUAUAUAUUGUUGUUUAAAUAAAUUUUAAAAAAUAGAAUUAUUAAAAAUUUUAUUAAAAAUUAAAUUCAAAUCAAAAUGUAGAAUAAAUAAGAAAUUAAUGAGUUACAUUAAUAAAUAAAUAUUGUAAAUUUAUUAUUUUAAAUAUAAUAUUGAAAAUGGAUUUAAAAGUAAAUAAAUUUUAAAAAUUUAAAAAUUGAAUAUAAAAUUUAAAUUACUACAAAUUGCCCGUCAUUAUCAAUAUGAAAUUUGAUAAAAGUCGUAACAAAGUAAAUAUACUGGAAGGUGUAUUUA